UCUGCUUCCUGUGUGCAGGGCGGUCUGGGGGGUGGUGGUGCCCUGUGGUGCCCUGGACGCUGCCAGGGAGCAGGCUGCCUGGGGCCUCGGCUGUCCUUCAGGCCCGCUGCCCACCUGUGACCGGGCUAGCCUGUUGGGACCCAUAGGAAGAGCCAUUGACAGGAAGGCACCUGGUGAGAAUUUGGAAGCUGUCACGCAGUGUGCCCCACGUGCCAUCAGAUCGUCAUGCAUGUUCUUUUUGUUGAGAUGAAGGGGUGCCGGUGUUUCUCAACAACGGAGAGAAAAUAGAUUGGAAAACAGCAACCUCAGGAGCUGUGACAACAGCAGAAGAUCCAGUGUUGGAUGAGAUGGUGGGAGGAGUAUUGGGAGAAAUAAUGACUGAAAACCUAACAAAUUUGGUGACAGACACAAACUUCCAAAUCCAAGAAGGUGCGUGAAAGCCAAGAAGGGCGAACUCAAAGAAAUCCAUGACCAGACACACUAUAAUCAAAUCUUUGAAAUCUAAGGACAAAAUCUUGAAAGCAGCGAGAAAGGGACGAAGCAUUACCUGAAGAGAGACGUCAGUUCAGCAUCAGUGGAUUUCUCAGCUGAGAGCAUGGAAGCCAGAAGAUGCUGCACAAUAUUUUUCAAGUGCUAAAAAAAGAUGGUCAAUUGUGAAUUCUACAUCGAGCGAGAGACUAUCCUUCAAGAAUGACGUUCUUUGUCUCUUAUUACCGUUUUUGGCUUAAAGUCUAUUUUGUCUGAUAUAAGUAUAGCCACCCCUGCUUUCUCAUGGUUUCUACUUGCAUGGAAUAUCUUUUCCCAUCCCUUCACUUUGAAUCUAUGUGUGUGUUCUUAAAUCUGAAGUGGGUCUCUUGUAAACA